ensembl:lncRNA
CCCAUGAUUAGCUCUACUUUAAUCCUCAUGUACACAGUUCCUUCUGAGACUACAAAAGCCCCAGUCUUGUCCAGCUGCCAUCCCUCCCCUCUAAGCUUGCUUUUGGCUGGAUUGUGCUGCUUCUGAAGAUGUAUUAUAAUUUAGUGUUCUGGUUGAAAAGGCAAAGUCUAAUCAGUGAUCUGAAGUGAUGGUAAACAGAAUCCUCAUCCUACCAACCACCGUGGCUACAAAUAGGAUGAGGGAGAGUUGUGGCAGUCAGAACAUCAGUGAAGGAGGCAAAGGCGAUGCGAAUCACAAGGGUCUAAUGUGGCCCCAAUGACUUCUGACAACGAUGAUGCAGACCAAGCAAUCAGGGUCCUGGGAGCCAGAGCUGGUUUGGUGUGGAGUUGAGGCUGUCCCAUAGGCUGCAGAGUGUGGUGGGAGAGCUACAGAGAGUGUUCGGGGACAAAGUUAGAUGAAACUGCCAAAAGGAGAAGAUGCAAAGACCGAACCAAGUGAGAGACAGAGCUGUUACAAGAAAACAAGCUGGAGAAAGCAUCUCACCGAGGGCCCAGCCCAAAGACGUAUCCAAGGGGAAGGAAGCACUGCACUGCUUCUCCCAAGGAGACAUCUGCACACUACGCCUGCCAGUUUUCCUAUGUGGACAGAAGGGCAUUUUUGCAGGCAUCGGGUUAGU